UAAAAUCUUAGUGGCGGACGGGUGAGUAACGCGUGGGUAACCUGCCUUACACUGGGGGAGUAACACUUAGAAAUAGGUGCUAAUACCGCAUAAGCGCACGAAGCCGCAUGGAUUUGUGUGAAAAACUCCGGUGGUGUAAGAUGGACCCGCGUCUGAUUAGCUUGUUGGCGGGGUAACGGCCCACCAAGGCGACGAUCAGUAGCCGGCCUGAGAGGGUGGACGGCCACAUUGGGACUGAGACACGGCCCAAACUCCUACGGGAGGCAGCAG
rnacentral:rRNA from 1 species